rnacentral:rRNA from 1 species
GAUGAACGCUGGCGGCGUGCCUAAUACAUGCAAGUCGAGCGAACAGACGAGGAGCUUGCUCCUCUGACGUUAGCGGCGGACGGGUGAGUAACACGUGGAUAACCUACCUAUAAGACUGGGAUAACUUCGGGAAACCGGAGCUGAUACCGGAUAACAUGUUGAACCGCAUGGUUCAACAGUGAAAGACGGUUUUGCUGUCACUUAUAGAUGGAUCCGCGCCGCAUUAGCUAGUUGGUAAGGUAACGGCUUACCAAGGCAACGAUGCGUAGCCGACCUGAGAGGGUGAUCGGCCACACUGGAACUGAGACACGGUCCAGACUCCUACGGGAGGCAGCAGUAGGGAAUCUUCCGCAAUGGGCGAAAGCCUGACGGAGCAACGCCGCGUGAGUGAAGAAGGUCUUCGGAUCGUAAAACUCUGUUAUUAGGGAAGAACAAAUGUGUAAGUAACUAUGCACGUCUUGACGGUACCUAAUCAGAAAGCCACGGCUAACUACGUG